rnacentral:rRNA from 1 species
AUGAGCUACCAGCAGGGCUACCCGCCGCCAGGCACCGCAGCAGCGUACCCUCCGCCGGGCCAGCAGCAGGCCUACGUCGCGCCGCCGCCGUCCACCUACCCGCAGGACCAGCAGUACCCUCCCGCCGGCGCCGACACCACGAGCCGCGGCGGGCACGGCCACGGCGGCGAUGGCUUCUUGAAAGGAUGCUGCGCCGCGCUGUGCUGCUGCUGCCUCCUCGACGCCUGCUUCUGA